ACAGAGUUCAUGCCCUCACGGGUAGACCUCCCACCCUAUGUUAUUAUACCUUUGUUGCUUUGGCGGGCCGUUGCCCCACGGCUAACCACUGGCCUCGGCUGGUGUGUGCCCGCUAGAGGACCCCAAACUCUGAAUAUUUAGUGUCGUCUGAGUACUAUAAAAUAGUUA
rnacentral:misc_RNA from 1 species